rnacentral:sRNA from 1 species
UCAUUGCACUAUGUCCACGAUGCGGUCGGCAA